AAAAAUAUUUCCAAUGAUAAACAAAGUUUACAGAUAGGCAACGCAAGAAAAAUACAGAUUGAGAAUUUAACAGAGUUUGAUUUAAAGGAUAUUUACUUCGUAUAUUUUGACAUGUGAUGUUGACAAUUUGUGGAUUUUAACUAUUAUAAAU